CUNAAAUUUGAAAUCUGGUACCUUCGGUGCCCGAGUUGUAAUUUGGAGAGGGCAACUUUGGGGCCGUUCCUUGUCUAUGUUCCUUGGAACAGGACGUCAUAGAGGGUGAGAAUCCCGUGUGGCGAGGAGUGCGGUUCUUUGUAAAGUGCCUUCGAAGAGUCGAGUUGUUUGGGAAUGCAGCUCUAAGUGGGUGGUAAAUUCCAUCUAAAGCUAAAUAUUGGCGAGAGACCGAUAGCGAACAAGUACAGUGAUGGAAAGAUGAAAAGAACUUUGAAAAGAGAGUGAAAAAGUACGUGAAAUUGUUGAAAGGGAAGGGCAUUUGAUCAGACAUGGUGUUUUGUGCCCUCUGCUCCUUGUGGGUAGGGGAAUCUCGCAUUUCACUGGGCCAGCAUCAGUUUUGGUGGCAGGAUAAAUCCAUAGGAAUGUAGCUUGCCUCGGUAAGUAUUAUAGCCUGUGGGAAUACUGCCAGCUGGGACUGAGGACUGCGACGUAAGUCAAGGAUGCUGGCAUAAUGGUUAUAUGCCGCCCGUCUUGAACACC
rnacentral:rRNA from 1 species